UCUUCCGUAGUAUAGUGGUUAGUAUGUGAGCUUGUCAUCGCCCAAUCAGGGCCAGGCAUCGCUCGAGACCCGGGUUCAAUUCCCGGCGGGAGAG
rnacentral:tRNA from 2 species